ensembl:lncRNA
GAGAGAGUGGCAUAUUAUCAAUAUUACAAAGUGUUGCAGGUAGCUCCACUGAAGUCAACGAGGAGCCCGGCUUUUCAUGUCUGUGUGCAUUGAUUUAAUGCUACUUAAAACGAAUUGCAGAUCAAUUGGAUUACCCAGAGGCAGAUUUAAUGAGCCGCACACUGCAGAGGAUGUUUGUCAGCUCACCGAGAGAGACUCGUCAUUCUCUGGGAGCGCUUUCUAGCACAUGACGUCUUGAGCGGAGGUCAUAACAAUAGCGCAAACUUUGUGAAAGACAUCGAAACAUGAGAAAAAAAUACCAUGGUUUUACUAUGGUAUUCUAUCAUAUACUUUGGAGCACCACAGCAUUAUGUUCUUUAACAAGUGAACAGAGGGAGAACGCCUGUCUGCCAGCUCAUGAUACCCCGCUCUGUCAUUGGAGCGGUGUUUAUAUUCGAGGGGCUGACCGCAGGACGGCAAGCACUCAGAGGGGCCGCCUGACGCCACCGGUUCACUCAGCAGCCGAUGUCUUCAAGUUGGACACCGAGUGGUCCUCAAAUUUAGAUCAGGUUCCUUGUUUAGAUCAGAGAGGGAAACUAUGGAACAUAAAGAUGGGAACGAAAGAGUGCAGGAGGGAAGUGUAG